CACAGAGAGCUUGCUCUCGGGUGACGAGCGGCGGACGGGUGAGUAAUGUCUGGGAAACUGCCUGAUGGAGGGGGAUAACUACUGGAAACGGUAGCUAAUACCGCAUAACGUCGCAAGACCAAAGUGGGGGACCUUCGGGCCUCAUGCCAUCAGAUGUGCCCAGAUGGGAUUAGCUAGUAGGUGGGGUAAUGGCUCACCUAGGCGACGAUCCCUAGCUGGUCUGAGAGGAUGACCAGCCACACUGGAACUGAGACACGGUCCAGACUCCUACGGGAGGCAGCAGUGGGGAAUAUUGCACAAUGGGCGCAAGCCUGAUGCAGCCAUGCCGCGUGUAUGAAGAAGGCCUUCGGGUUGUAAAGUACUUUCAGCGAGGAGGAAGGCGUUAAGGUUAAUAACCUUAGCGAUUGACGUUACUCGCAGAAGAAAGCACCGGCUAACUCCGUGCCA
rnacentral:rRNA from 1 species